rnacentral:rRNA from 1 species
GACGAACGCUGGCGGCGUGCCUAAUACAUGCAAGUUGAGCGCUGAAGGUUGGUACUUGUACCAACUGGAUGAGCAGCGAACGGGUGAGUAACGCGUGGGGAAUCUGCCUUUGAGCGGGGGACAACAUUUGGAAACGAAUGCUAUACCGGAUUAAAAACUUAAAAACAAAGUUUAAGGUUUAAAAGAGCAAUUUGAACAACCAAAGGUGAAUCCCGCGUUGUAUUAGCUAGUUGGUGAGGUAAAGGCUCACCAAGGCGAUGAUACAUAGCCGACCUGAGAGGGUGAUCGGCCACAUUGGGACUGAGACACGGCCCAAACUCCUACGGGAGGCAGCAGUAGGGAAUCUUCGGCAAUGGACGAAAGUCUGACCGAGCAACGCCGCGUGAGUGAAGAAGGUUUUCGGAUCGUAAAACUCUGUUGGUAGAGAAGAACGUUGGUGAGAGUGGAAAGCUCAUCAAGUGACGGUAACUACCCAGAAAGGGACGGCUAACUACGUG